ACGCUGGCGGCAUGCCUUACACAUGCAAGUCGAACGGCAGCACGGGAGCAAUCCUGGUGGCGAGUGGCGAACGGGUGAGUAAUAUAUCGGAACGUGCCCAGUCGUGGGGGAUAACUACUCGAAAGAGUGGCUAAUACCGCAUACGAUCUAAGGAUGAAAGCGGGGGACUCGUAAGGGCCUCGCGCGAUUGGAGCGGCCGAUAUCAGAUUAGGUAGUUGGUGGGGUAAAAGCCCACCAAGCCUGCGAUCUGUAGCUGGUCUGAGAGGACGACCAGCCACACUGGAACUGAGACACGGUCCAGACUCCUACGGGAGGCAGCAGUGGGGAAUUUUGGACAAUGGGCGCAAGCCUGAUCCAGCAAUGCCGCGUGCAGGACGAAGGCCUUCGGGUUGUAAACUGCUUUUGUACGGAACGAAAAGGUCAUUAAUAACACUAGUGGCUGAUGACGGUACCGUAAGAAUAAGCACCGGCUAACUACGUGCCAGCAGCCGCGGUAAUACGUAGGGUGCGAGCGUUAAUCGGAAUUACUGGGCGUAAAGCGUGCGCAGGCGGUUAUAUAAGACAGAUGUGAAAUCCCCGGGCUCAACCUGGGAACUGCAUAUGUGACUGUAUAGCUAGAGUACGGUAGAGGGGGAUGGAAUUCCGCGUGUAGCAGUGAAAUGCGUAGAUAUGCGGAGGAACACCGAUGGCGAAGGCAAUCCCCUGGACCUGUACUGACGCUCAUGCACGAAAGCGUGGGGAGCAAACAGGAUUAAAUACCCUGGUAGUCCACGCCCUAAACGAUGUCAAC
rnacentral:rRNA from 1 species